UACGUAGGUGGCAAGCGUUGUCCGGAAUUAUUGGGCGUAAAGCGCGCGCAGGCGGUCCUUUAAGUCUGAUGUGAAAGCCCUCGGCUCAACCGAGGAGGGUCAUUGGAAACUGGAGGACUUGAGUGCAGAAGAGGAAAGUGGAAUUCCAAGUGUAGCGGUGAAAUGCGUAGAGAUUUGGAGGAACACCAGUGGCGAAGGCGACUUUCUGGUCUGUAACUGACGCUGAGGCGCGAAAAGCGUGGGGGAGCAAACAGG
rnacentral:rRNA from 1 species